rnacentral:rRNA from 1 species
ACACAUGCAAGUCGAACGAGGUCCAUCCACUCGCAAGAGUGGUGAAGACCUAGUGGCGAACGGGUGAGUAACACGUGAGAAACCUGCCCCGAAGACCGGGAUGACUCACCGAAGGGUGAGCUAAUACCGGAUGCCUUCACGACGUCUCAUGGCGAUGUGAAGAAAUGGAUUCCGCUUCGGGAGGGUCUCGCGGCCUAUCAGCUUGUUGGUGAGGUAACGGCUCACCAAGGCGACGACGGGUAGCUGUUCUGAGAGGAAGAUCAGCCACACUGGGACUGAGACACGGCCCAGACUCCUACGGGAGGCAGCAGUGGGGAAUCUUGCGCAAUGGGCGAAAGCCUGACGCAGCGAUGCCGCGUGCGGGAAGACGGCCUUCGGGUUGUAAACCGCUUUCAGCAGGGACGAAAUUGACGGUACCUGCAGAAGAAGCUCCGGCCAACUACGUGCCAGCAGCCGCGGUAAGACGUAGGGGGCGAGCGUUGUCCGGAAUUAUUGGGCGUAAAGGGCUCCUAGGCGGUUCAGUAAGUCGACUGUGAAAAUCCAAGGCUCAACCUUGGGACGCCAGUCGAUACUGCUGUGACUCGAGUUCGGUAGAGGAGUGUGGAAUUCCUGGUGUAGCGGUGAAAUGCGCAGAUAUCAGGAGGAACACCGACGGCGAAGGCAGCACUCUGGGCCGAUACCGACGCUGA